GUGAGUAUCACCAGGUAGGCGGAAAAAAACUCCUCAUAAGCUGCAUAAUCAAAGUCUUCGGGCCUUUCAAACCCGUACGGAUCGAUCCUGCAACGAGAAGAAAAGGAACCUGUUCCCCUCCUCUCUUGAUGGGGGUCAGGAUCCGGCCUCACUCCCUGCCACACACUUUCUCACAACUGCCUGAAGAGCAGCAUGGCCUUGGCUCUGAUGCCCCCGCAGGAAACCCAGGCCACAGGACACAUGCACUUGGGCUUGAGCCUGAUGGCGGUACCCCUGGCAGGUGUAUUGGGGCCAGAUGACACGGGAGGACCGGCAUCCUGUGUGGGGGCAAGCGAGCAGGAGCCGGAAGGGGCUCAGUCAUUGCCUGGCGUGUGGACUGUGCUCAGCAAACCCCGGGCCUCUUGUUCCCGUCCCAGCCUCCCAGGCUCAGGUGCCUCACACUCGAUUUCCUCCGAGGGCAGAUUGUGAGUGCCCCGCAGGAAGUCACCCCAGACCCUUCAGUGAUGUCCUCUGCAGAAGAAAAACAGGUUUUGGAAGAGGGCAGGUCCACUGAGCAGGGAGCCCUGCAAUUAUAGCCUGAGCUGGCGUUUCCAGUUCUUCCAGCACAGACGUGGAAUGCAGCUGUUCUGUGGGCUCUGGGCAUUGGAGAAACUCACGAUUUGUUUUCAGAGAUCAUUUUGAGGGAGUGUUCCUUGUAAGCAAGUUUUAUUUUGUAACAAGAUUAAAUGCACAUUUUAAAGAACAAACACUGUGAUACAACCUAAUCUUACAAAACGCUCAGGGACGCUGCGGGAGGGGAGGCGCAGGAAGCACCCCGUCCCCAGGAAGCCAAGAAACCAGGGGUCCUGCCUCCACCUGCUCCACCAGACAGACGGACGAACAGACAGUCUCAGGAAGGGUGGGAGGGUACCAGGCUGGGACAGGCACACACUGUUGCUCGUCCCCAGCCUUCCUUCUCCUGUCCUCCCUUCUG